rnacentral:rRNA from 1 species
GACGAACCGUGCGAACGUUAUUCGGAAUAACUGGGCUUAAAGGGAGCGUAGGCGGGCUAUCAAGUCUGGGGUGAAAUCCCACGGCUCAACCGUGGAACUGCCUUAGAUACUGACGGCCUCGAGGGAGAUAGGGGCAUGCGGAACUGUAGGUGGAGCGGUGAAAUGCGUUGAUAUCUACAGGAACUCCGGUGGCGAAAGCGGCGUGCUGGAUCUCUUCUGACGCUGAGGAGCGAAAGCCAGGGGAGCAAACGGG